AGUUGUGGGGACUGACAGGGACAGGUCUGGAUGGGCAUCUGCUUUAGUUUUGGAAAUAACUGCAAGUAAUUUAGAUGUGUUAAGUAUUUCUAAAGAGAAGGUGAUUUCUUGGAGCUAGCAUGGUUUUGUAAAA